rfam:Candidatus Saccharibacteria bacterium CG2_30_41_52 cg2_3.0_scaffold_21_c, whole genome shotgun sequence.
UAAAAAGGUACUCAAGAGCACACAAUGGAUGCCUAGACGUAUAUUACCGAAGAAGGACGCGGAAGACUGCGAAAAGUCUCGGGGAGCUGUCAACAAGCUUUGAUCCGGGAAUGUCCGAAUGGGGAAACCCAGUACGAGUCAUGUCGUAUUAUCUGUCUCUGAAUAUAUAGGAGAUUUGACGGGAACCAACUGAACUGAAACAUCUUAGUAGGUUGAGGAAGAGAAAAUAAAUAAUGAUUCCGGGAGUAGUGGCGAGCGAAACUGGAUCAGCCCAAACCUUUUACAUUUUUGCCUGGUAAUUUAUUACCGGCGCAAAUAAGUUUUCAGACGAAUAUGUAUAAGGGGUUGUGAGAUUACACAAGAACAGGUCAGAGCACUAAAGUUUACUUUAGUGAAUCUGACUUGCGACCACGAACUGAAAAUAGUGGGUAAGGUAAAAAAAUUACAUCGUUAGCGGAAUAGUUUGAAUGACUAACCAAAGAACGUGAAAGUCGCGUAUGCGAAAACGAUGUUGACCUUAUCUGUGUUUUUCUCGAGUAGGACGGGGCACGAGAAACCCUGUUUGAAUCCGGCAGGACCACCUGCCAAGGCUAAAUAUAAUAUACGAUCGAUAGUGAACUAGUACCGUGAGGGAAAGGUGAAAAGAACCCCGGGAGGGGAGUGAAAUAGAUCCUGAAAUUGUGUGCUUACAAUGUGUCGGAGCGGAUUUAUUCCGUGACGGCGUGCUUUUUGUAGAACGAUCCAGCGAGUUAAUUUCCAGUGCAAGGUUAAGUCAAUUGACGGAGCCACAGUGAAAGCGAGCCUGAAUAGGGCGUUGGCACCUUCGCACUGAGCAAAAUACUCUGUGGACGCAUAGCGCUGAUUUUGGCAAAGUGAAAUCCGUUCAACGUAUAUAUCUAUACGUUUCACGAAUUUCGCAAAGCCAAAAUCUAGCGAUCUGUGCCCACAGAUGCAUUUUGUCCAGCGUGAAGGUGCCGAAAGUACUAGGAAUUAGACCCGAAACCGGGUGACCUAACCAUGAGCAGGCUGAAGCUACUGUAACAGGUAGUGAAGGGCCGAACCGUCGCAAGCAGCAAAUUGCUCGGAUGACUUGUGGUUAGAGGUGAAAUGCCAAUCGAACUCGGAGAUAGCUGGUUCUCCUCGAAAUAGCUUUAGGGCUAGCGUCAAGUAAUUAGCCAACGGGGGUAGAGCUCUGUAAAGGAAUAAGGUUCGCAAGAAUACUUAUCCUUAACAAACUACGAAUACCGUUGGUGGUAUCUUGGCAGUCAGAACGUCGGGGCUAAGCUCGGCGCUCAAAAGGGAAACAGCCCAGACCAUCAUCUAAGGUCCCCAAAUAUAUACUCAGUGGGAAACAAAGUGGAAUUUCUUAAACAGCUAGGAUGUUGGCUUAGAAGCAGCCAUUCAUUUAAAGAGUGCGUAACAGCUCACUAGUCAAGAGAUUCUGCGUGGAAAAUGUAACGGGGCUAAAGUAUAUUACCGAAGAUAUGGAUGUGAUGUAAUUUAUUACACACGUGGUAGAGGAGCGUUCCCGUCAGCAGUGAAGUUCAACUGGAAAGUUGGGUGGAGCGGCGGGAAGUGAGAAUGCUGGAAUGAGUAACCAUAAGACAGGUGAGAAUCCUGUCGGCCGUAAGAGCAAGGUUUCCUGAGCCAUGGUAAUCAUCUCAGGGUUAGUCGGGCCUAAGCCGAGGCGCAUAGCGUAGGCGAUGGACAUCAGGUUAAUAUUCCUGAACCGGUUAUAAUUUGUAUACAGUUUACAGUGGAAUAAUCAAAGCGAAUUCAUGGUAUGUAUUCGUCCAACCUAGCGGGAACGCAAAGGGAGUGAAAGUGAUUCUUCGGAGUCGCGAUUUUGAUCAAGGCACUGGCUAGAAAAGCUGGUAUACGCGUGGUUAUAGCCGCCCGUACCGCAAACCAACACAGGUGCUCGAGUCGAGUAGACUCAGGCUUACGAGAGAACCUUCGCUAAGGAACUCGGCAAUAAAGCGACCGUAACUUCGGGAUAAGGUCUGCCCCCACAUCAUUCGAUGUGAGCCGUGUUCAACUAACUUGGUGAAAGGUGGUUGAAAAUAGAUAAAUUUGAGUACGCAGUAUGUUUAGCGAUAGAUAUAUUGUGUCAAAACCUUUUUAAAAUCACAAUUUUUUACUGAGAUAGACAAAUCAUAAUAGUAAUAUUAAUGAUCUUUUGAGCACGACCUCUCGCAUCUAACGAUGUGGGGGCCGCAGCUAAAGAUUCCACGGAACUGUUUACCAAAAACACAGGUCUCUGCUAAUUCGAAAGAAGAUGUAUAGGGGCUGACUCCUGCCCAGUGCUGGUAGGUUAAGGGGAGCGCUUUACGGUGCGAACUGAAGCCCCAGUGAACGGCGGCGGUAACUAUAACCGUCCUAAGGUAGCGAAAUUCCUUGUCAGGUAAGUUCUGACCCGCACGAACGGAGUAAUCAUGUGGAAACUGUCUCAGCGAAGGACUCGGUGAAAGUGCAUUGGCGGUAAAGAUGCCGCCUGUCCGUACCAGGACGAAAAGACCCCAUGGAGCUUUACUACAGCUUUACAUUGAUUCGGGUUACAACAUGUGUAGAAUAGGUGGGAGCCUUUGAAGCAGAUACGCAAGUAUUUGUGGAGGCACCAAGUGAAAUACCACCCUUGUUGUGAUCUUAAUCUUACCGUUACCAUUAUCUGGUAACGGGACCGUGUAUGGUGGGUAGUUUAACUGGGGCGGUUGCCUCCUAAAGAGUAGCGGAGGCGUUCAAAGGUUGGCUAGUUUCGUAUGGAAAUCGAAACGAUAGUGUAUGCGCAUAAGCCAGCUUGACUGUGAGGGGUACAUCCCAAACAGAUACGAAAGUAGGAGCAAGUGACCCGCUAUAUAGUACAUUUAUGUACAUGAACGUGGGAUCGAUAGCGCACACGGAUAAAAGUUACCCUGGGGAUAACAGGCUUAUAGCGCCCAAUAGUUCACAUAGACGGCGCUGUUUGGCACCUCGAUGUCGGCUCAUCACAUCCUGGAGGGGGAGCACCUUCCAAGGGUUCGGCUGUUCGCCGAUUAAAGUGGUACGCGAGCUGGGUUCAGAACGUCGUGAGACAGUUCGGUUUAUAUCCGGUACGGACGUUAGGAAAUUUGAGAAGAUCCACCCUUAGUACGAGAGGACCGGGGCGGACGAACCUCUGGUGUAUCGAUUGUGGCCACCUGCUGCAUUGUCGAGUAGCUACGUUCGGAAUAGAUAAGCGCUGAAAGCAUAUUAAGCACGAAACUAACUUCAAGAUAAGAUUUCCCUAUGAGGACACUGAAAGAAUAUCAGUUUGAUAGGCGCAAGGUGUAAGCAUGGCAACAUGUGUAGCUGAAGCGUACUAAUAGUCCCAUCGCCUUUUUAUG